rnacentral:tRNA from 1 species
GUGGGUAUAGCUCAGUGGUAGAGUGUGUGCUUAGCAUGCAGGAGGUUCUGGGUUCAAUCCCCAGUACUGCCA